UAGGGAAUCUUCCGCAAUGGACGCAAGUCUGACGGAGCAACGCCGCGUGAGUGAAGAAGGAUUUCGGUUCGUAAAACCCUGUUGUUAGAGAAGAACAGCGCAUAGAGUAACUGUUAUGCGUGUGACGGUAUCUAACCAGAAAGCCACGGCUAACUACGUGCCAGCAGCCGCGGUAAUACGGAGGUGGCAAGCGUUUUCCGGAUUUAUUGGGCGUAAAGCGAGCGCAGGGGGUCAAUUAAGUCGGAUGUAAAAGCCCCCGGCUCAACCGGGGAGGGUAGUUGGAAACUGGUUGCCUUGAGUGGAGAAGGGGAGAGUGAAAUUCCAUGUGUAGCGGUGAAAUGCGUAGAUAUAUGGGGGAACACAAGUGGCGAAGACGACUCUCUGGUCUGUACCUGACGCUGAGGCUCGAAAGCGUGGGUAGAAAACAGG
rnacentral:rRNA from 1 species